rnacentral:rRNA from 1 species
GGCAAUAACAGGUCUGUGAUGCCCUUAGAUGUUCUGGGCCGCACGCGCGCUACACUGUUGCAUUCAACGAGCCUAUCCUUGGCCGAGAGGUCCGGGUAAUCUUUGAAACUGCAACGUGAUGGGGAUAGAUUAUUGCAAUUAUUAGUCUUCAACGAGGAAUGCCUAGUAAGCGCGAGUCAUCAGCUCGCGUUGAUUACGUCCCUGCCCUUUGUACACACCGCCCGUCGCUCCUACCGAUUGGGUGUGCUGGUGAAGUGUUCGGAUUGGUUUUAGUUGAUGGCGACAUCGGCUAUUACUGAGAAGAUCAUUAAACCCUCCCACCUAGAGGAAGGAGAAGUCGUAACAAGGUUUCCGUAGGUGAACCUGCGGAAGGAUCAUUGAAUCUAUCAAUACCAACACUGUGAACCAAACUGUCUGGCCUCCCGUUUAUUCGGGGCGUAAUGGCUGCAUUCACUUGCAACCUGAGCGGGCUUGUUAACCUYCGGGUUAGCAGGUUGGUCUCUAUUAACAUUAACACCAAACAAAACCAAUCUAAAGUUGAAAUGCAGUCGGCCUGGCCGCUGUAUCCAACCAAAGACAACUGUGUACAACGGAUAUCUUGGCUCUCGUAACGAU